UCCCCUUUGAUCACAAAUCACAAUCACAUCGGGGCAUCGGGGCGUACCCAAUUACAUUACUUAAGCAAACUGUUUAGCUUUUCCCAAAUCUGUUUCGCACACACGCGUUAACAUCCCGAUCCCGGCCCACGGGUUCGAAGGAACCGGCUUCUCCACUCCACCAACACCACUACUACUACUCUAUCAAAUCCAGCUUGCUAGCCCACCAAAGAAAGGCCAGCAAGCUACCGGCAAUCAAGAAGAAGAAUGUGCCUUCCGUGGUGCCGCCCCCGUCAGCACGACUAUGGCCGCAACCGCAAGGACAGCCGCCCCACGGCCUCCAGCCAGCUGGGGCACGACGGCGCCGGCGACGGCCAAAAGGCGCCGCCGACGCCGCCCCACCUCCAGCCGCCCGCUGCCGGCGGCGGCCAUGGCUACGCUCAAGACAAGGUUGACGACGAAACGACGUUGAAGUAGCAGCAGCUGCUGCUGCCGCCCGAGCGGCACAACAAGGUCAGCGGCGCUGCUCCUGAUGAUCACGGCGAGAAGAACCCCAUGGAUUUCAACCACCACCACUACCACCACUAGUACUCUCCAAAGUCAUCAUCCGAUGUGCGAGUUUCCGAAACUGAAAGGCACCUGGAGUACUGGAAUGGAAGUAUGGGAGCAUGUUGUUUUGUUUAUGGAUGUAACACUUGCGGCACAAAUUAUCAGUCGGUCUCUGACUCUGUCUAGCUAGUUGCUGCAUGCUUGUACUUUAGUCCUAGCUUGUUUUCUUCUUCUUCUUGUGAUGUAUCAAAAUAAAUCAAGUGAAAGGAAAGCAUUGUUCCGCCGAGCUUACAGGAGAAUAAAGGCAUGCAUGCUUUGUAGCAGCAAGGACAGGUUAUUAUCCA